GCCUGCCAGAUUGUUAAUGUGUGUGUCUGCAUGUCUGGCCAAGGGCCUGAGUUCACUCUGAUGCAGGAGGGGAUUGCUUAGAGAACCUGAGAGGUUUAAAAUCAGAUUGAAGAGGAUAAAAACACCAGUGCUUUGGUACUAUGGGUCACAGGUCAGCAUACAGACGUGAUGGAGAACUUGCAUAUGCUUUGGUGGAAGAGUGGAGGAACAUCUCACAGCAAGAACUGACAAAUUUGGUGCAGUGCAUGAGGAUGAGAUGCACUGUAGUACUUAAAGCAGCUGGAGGCUACCACAUACUGACUGUUACUUUUAAAAUUGCCCCCCCCUUUGUUCAUGGACUCAUUAUUCCAUUUCUGUUUAUCAAAUGUCUGUUAAAAUUCUUCAGUUUAUGUCUUAGUUGUUGAAAGUUUUUAUGUUAAUACAAAUAUUUACACAUGUUAAGAAACUUGC
ensembl:lncRNA